GAUGAACGCUGGCGGCGUGCCUAAUACAUGCAAGUCGAGCGAACAGACGAGGAGCUUGCUCCUCUGACGUUAGCGGCGGACGGGUGAGUAACACGUGGAUAACCUACCUAUAAGACUGGGAUAACUUCGGGAAACCGGAGCUAAUACCGGAUAACAUGUUGAACCGCAUGGUUCAACAGUGAAAGACGGUCUUGCUGUCACUUAUAGAUGGAUCCGCGCCGCAUUAGCUAGUUGGUAAGGUAACGGCUUACCAAGGCAACGAUGCGUAGCCGACCUGAGAGGGUGAUCGGCCACACUGGAACUGAGACACGGUCCAGGCUCCUACGGGAGGCAGCAGUAGGGAAUCUUCCGCAAUGGGCGAAAGCCUGACGGAGCAACGCCGCGUGAGUGAAGAAGGUCUUCGGAUCGUAAAACUCUGUUAUUAGGGAAGAACAAAUGUGUAAGUAACUAUGCACGUCUUGACGGUACCUAAUCAGAAAGCCACGGCUAACUACGUG
rnacentral:rRNA from 1 species